GUGCUGGAGUCAGCUUCACACAGUCACAGCACAGACAUGAGGGCCACCACACAGCUCCUGGUGUUGCAGCUGCUCUGCCUUAUAGGUGUCAGAUGUGACAUCCAGAUGACACAGUCUCCAUCCUCCCUGUCUGCGUCUCUGGGAGAAAGUGUCACCAUCACAUGCCGAGCAAGUGAGGACAUUUACAGUGGUUUAGCAUGGUAUCAGCAGAAUCCAGGGAAUUCUCCUAAGCUCCUGAUCUAUGGUGCAAACAGCUUGGAAGAUGGGGUCCCAUCAAGGUUCAGUGGCAGUGGAUCUGGAACACAGUAUUCUCUCAAGAUCAGCAGCCUACAGCCUGAAGAUGUAGCAAUUUAUUACUGUCAACAGUAUAGUGAUUAUCCUCCCACAGUGAUACAAGUCAUAACAUAAACCCCCAGGAAAACA